rnacentral:rRNA from 1 species
UUGACCUCAAAUCAGGUAGGACUACCCGCUGAACUUAAGCAUAUCAAUAAGCGGAGGAAAAGAAACUAACAAGGAUUCCCCUAGUAACUGCGAGUGAAGCGGGAAAAGCUCAAAUUUGAAAUCUGGCGGUUCUUUGACCCGUCCGAGUUGUAAUCUAGAGAAGUGUUACCUGUGCUGGACCGUGUACAAGUCUCCUGGAAUGGAGCAUCAUAGAGGGUGAGAAUCCCGUCUUUGACAUGGACUGCCUGUACGAUAUGGUGCGCUCUCGAAGAGUCGAGUUGUUUGGGAAUGCAGCUCAAAAUGGGUGGUAAAUGCCAUCUAAAGCUAAAUAUUGGCGAGAGACCGAUAGCGAACAAGUACCGUGAGGGAAAGAUGAAAAGAACUUUGGAAAGAGAGUUAAACAGUACGUGAAAUUGCUGAAAGGGAAACGCUUGAAGUCAGUCACGUCGGCUGGAAAUCAGCCUUGCUUCUGCUUGGUGUACUUUCCGGUUGAUGGGUCAGCAUCAAUUUUGACCAUUGGAUAAAGUCACUGGGAAUGUGGCAUCUUAGGAUGUGUUAUAGCCCGUUGUCGCAUACAGUGGUUGGGAUUGAGGAACUCAGCACGCCUGCAAAGGCCGGGUCUUUUGACCACGUUCGUGCUUAGGAUGCUGGCAUAAUGGCUUUAAUCGACCCGUC